AGUGAACGCUGGCGGUAGGCCUAACACAUGCAAGUCGAACGGCAGCACAGUAAGAGCUUGCUCUUACGGGUGGCGAGUGGCGGACGGGUGAGGAAUACAUCGGAAUCUACUUUUUCGUGGGGGAUAACGUAGGGAAACUUACGCUAAUACUGCAUACGACCUACGGGUGAAAGCAGGGGAUCUUCGGACCUUGCGCGAUUGAAUGAGCCGAUGUCGGAUUAGCUAGUUGGCGGGGUAAAGGCCCACCAAGGCGACGAUCCGUAGCUGGUCUGAGAGGAUGAUCAGCCACACUGGAACUGAGACACGGUCCAGACUCCUGCGGGAGGCAGCAGUGGGGAAUAUUGGACAAUGGGCGCAAGCCUGAUCCAGCCAUACCGAGUGGGUGAAGAAGGCCUUCGGGUUGUAAAGCCCUUUUGUUGGGAAAGAAAAGCAGCAGGUUAAUACCCCGCUGUUCUGACGGUACCCAAAGAAUAAGCACCGGCUAACUUCGUG
rnacentral:rRNA from 1 species